GACGAACGCUGGCGGCGUGCCUAAUACAUGCAAGUCGAACGCUGAAGGAGGAGCUUGCUUCUCUGGAUGAGUUGCGAACGGGUGAGUAACGCGUAGGUAACCUGCCUGGUAGCGGGGGAUAACUAUUGGAAACGAUAGCUAGUACCGCAUAAGAGUAGAUGUUGCAUGACAUUUGCUUAAAAGGUGCAAUUGCAUCACUACCAGAUGGACCUGCGUUGUAUUAGCUAGUUGGUGGGGUAACGGCUCACCAAGGCGACGAUACAUAGCCGACCUGAGAGGGUGAUCGGCCACACUGGGACUGAGACACGGCCCAGACUCCUACGGGAGGCAGCAGUAGGGAAUCUUCGGCAAUGGACGGAAGUCUGACCGAGCAACGCCGCGUGAGUGAAGAAGGUUUUCGGAUCGUAAAGCUCUGUUGUAAGAGAAGAACGAGUGUGAGAGUGGAAAGUUCACACUGUGACGGUAUCUUACCAGAAAGGGACGGCUAACUACGUG
rnacentral:rRNA from 1 species